rnacentral:lncRNA from 1 species
AAACAUGGAGAAAUAAAUUUGGAAGGGGUAUAAAAAUUAAUGGCAAGUAACCCACUGUCAACACUAGGGACUAUAUUUGCAAUGACAAGUGUGUUCAUUCAGAGACAAAAGCAACAAUACAUGCAAUGACAUGUAGGUAUGUUCUUUCAGAAACAUAUACAGCAACACUAACAAUGACAACUCGAUCCUUUCAGUGACAUAUGCAGCAAUACAUACAAUCACAAAUGUGUUCGUUCAGAGACAAAAUCAGCAAUGCAUGCAAUAACAAGAAGGCCCGUUGAGUGACAUAUGCAGCAAUACAAGUGUGUUCGUUCAGAGACAUAUGCAGCAAUGCAUGCAAUGGCAGUUAUAUCCGUUCAAAUACAUAUACAGCGAUACUUACAAUGACAAGUCGAUCCGUUCAGUGACAUACAAUGUAUGCAGUAAUACAAUGUCGAUAAGUCGAUCCGUUCAGAGAUAUGCACCGAUAGAUAUAACUAUGUACAAUUACAAGUCGGUUCGUUCAGUGACAUGUGCAGCAAUACAUGCAAUGAAAAGUUGGUCCGUUCAAAUAUAUUUGGUGCAAACAUACAUUGAUAUUCGUUCAGUGACAUAAUUAUCUGUACGCGCUAUAACAAGACGUUUGUAGCAAUGUAUACAAUACCAAACCAGUAACGUAUGAAGCACUACAAACAAUGACACGUUGACUCCUUCUGUGACAUGUGCAGCUAUAUGCAUGCAAUGACGAUUCGGUCCGUUCGCAGACAAAUACAGCAGUUUAUGCCAUGAUGAAUCGGCGGCUACCUCCUGUAAAAUAUACAUGUAUGCAACAUUUUUUUCUUGUUGCAUCGAUGUAUCAAUAGAAACUUUAGAUUUACCGAAUUUAUCGUGUCACAGUCUACAUGUACUUUUAGCAGACACCUUCUGAUAAGGUCAUGAAACUCUCGGGCAUGGCUUUACUAAUUAGCAGUUUAACACAUUGAUUCAGUUACAUUUGCCGGAAAAUAUCAGGAAAUUAUAUCUCUGAUGUUUCUAUACUAGAUUAAUCAAGUAUAAUCUAUACUAUUUAAUGUAACUAAAGAUGUAUCAAAAUAUAUGAUUUGGAAUACAUUCAAAUUGUCAAUUAACAUUAACACAAAUUCAUAUGAUGCCAACUAGAAACUUGGCUUUGAAUUUAAGAUAAGAAAUAUCACUUAAGCUCAACUUACUUUUCACGGUCCUUUGUUAAUUUUAACAUUUUCCAAAUUUAUCACAUUUUUUAAAAUUUUUGCCAUGGUAUUGUCACUUUGUGUUCAAUUUCCAUUUGGUAUCUUUGUAACUUCUUUUCAAAUUGAAAUCUACCCUACUGGUACCCUUGUAGCAUCGAAUUGGAGAUAAAGGAUACUACAGAUACAGUUAAGUCGGCUUCAUAUCUUGACUUACAUCUAGAAAUUGACAAUGAGGGUCGGUUGAAAACAAAACUUUACGACAAAAGAGAUGAUUUCAGCUUUCCAAUUGUGAACUUUCCAUUUCUAAGUAGCAACAUUCAGCAGCAACCUGCAUACGGGGUAUAUAUCUCCCAAUUGAUACGAUAUUCCCGUGCUUGCAUUUCCUAUCAUGAUUUUCUUGAUAGAGGGUUACUUGCUCACAAGGAAGCUAUUAAACCAAGAGUUCCAAAUGGUGAAGUUGAAAUCAUCCCUUCGUAAAUUUUACGGACGCCAUCACAAGUUGGUUGACCGUUAUGGAAUAACCGUUUCACAAAUGAUAUCGGAUAUGUUCCUUACGUCGUAACUACAAUCCCCUUCCCUUUCAUGAAUGUGACCUACCGAAUUAGACUAUUUACCGGAUUUGUAAUCACAUAAGCAACACGACGGGUGCCACAUGUGGAGCAGGAUCUGCUUACCCUUCCGGAGCACCUGAGAUCACCCUAGUUUUGGUGGGGUUCGUGUUGUUUAUUCUUUAGUUUUCUAUGUUGUGUCAUGUGUACUAUUGUUUUUCUGUUUGUCUUUUUCAUUUUUAGCCAUGGCGUUGUCAGUUUGUUUUAGAUUUAUGAGUUUGACUGUCCCUUUGGUAUCUUUCGUCCCCCUUUUGUAAACAUUACACAUUGCCGUAAUAACACGACCAAGUGCAGUACUGCCGAAAAAACCCGAUGUUGAUCAAUCAAUAUUGUAAUUUAUAUAUAUAUAUAUAUGAUAAAAUUGAGAAUGAAAAUAGGGUAUAUGUCAAAGAGACAUCAACCCGACGGCCAAAAAGCAGACAAAAGCCGAAUGCCACAAAUGGGUAUUCAAAAGCGAGAAAAAAUGCGCAACCGGAAGUCGUUCUCAGCAAAAUUGUGUACUAGUUCAGUAAAAAUGGAUGACACCCUAAACUCCAAAACAUAUAAAUGAACUAAAAUAAAAAAAAAAAAAACAAAAAAAAACAUGCAAGACUUACUAAGGCCAGAGGCUCCUGACUUGAGACAUGCGCAAUAAUGCUGCGGAGUUGAACAUGUUUUGUGAGAUCUCAACUCUCGAUUUAUGCACGUGUUUCAAGACACAGUUGGAUCCGUUUUGAAUUGGAAUAUUAAAAUUCCUUUGCUGGAGUAUACAAAGGUCUCUGAAUACAUAAUAGUAUACUCUUGCUGAAGGGCUAGUGUACUGUGUUCAUGUGUGAUGUAAUCUAUAUAUGCAGCUUCGCACGUAUAUGAGAUUGUGGUUCAUCCAAAGAUCAAUAGAACGGUGGCAAAGUUUGACUGUUACUGGAAACAAAGGUUAUACUGCACAGACACUUGUGGCUAUAGAUGGGAAGGUUGGCUAUCAUAUGUAUUUUUACAUAUGGAUAGUCGACCUUUUCAUGGAUACAAGUGCCUGUGGAAUACUUGAUAGGGACAGACAUUUAGCAUGGCACACAGAAAACAUGCAACAUUGUACCCAUCAAAGAGUUGUUGCAAGGUUUCUUCCACGUGCGUGCAGAGAAGGUGACAUCUUUCUCACAUGACACAUUGUAUUUAACGUCCCGAUAUCUUCCAGGUGUGACUGUGUAUCAAUACAUCCCAUACAGCCAAAAAAUAUAUUAUCAAAAUACCAACGUAAAUUCAAAAAGGAGAAGUCCAUAUAACAGAAAACUGACCAAUCAUACGAUUUUAUCAACCAACAGAAGGAAUGAAAAACUAUUGUCUAACUCCUGACUGUGUAUAGGCAUUUUCAGACGCGGAAACAGUAGGUUAAACCUAGUUUUAAAACUAGCUUAACGAAAUAUCGCCUAUUGCAUGGUUUUACCGUCGGAUAAAACAAGUCUAGAUGGCAAUAUAUCUAAACUACAAUCAAUCGUUAGGCAAAAAACAAAACAAAACAAAACAAAGAACAACAAUAAAACUAAAACAGUAUUUAGUAUUUAUAAACCUGAGACUAUUUAACAUUAUAGAUUGAAUGAAUGGUGGAGAGUUAACGCCAAAUCAUCACACGACGGCUAUACUAAACAACAAUUUUAAAAUAUACUAUUAGUGCACUGUAAAAAUCGUGCUUAGAAUUUAAACACUUGUGAUACAUGUUUAGGAUUGUGUUUAAUUUCUAAACACAGUUUUCAGUAAGCACAUAAUAUUUAAACAUGACGUGAAUUAAAACACGUUUAAAAAUAAAUGAAAGUGUAUAGAAAGUAAACACAUUUUUCUAAGCUAAACACGAUUCUAAACACAAUCCUAAACACAUUGUACUGAGACACGUUUAGAUCUAAACAUUAAAAAAAGUGCACGAAAGAUGUGCUUAGAAUUAUGUUUAGGAUCUAAACACCAUUUUUACAGUGUGUAUGUAUUAAAAAUAUACUAGAAGUAAUUCCAUUAGAAGAUACAAACAAAUUUCAAGAAACUAUAAUUUCAAGGAUCCAAUACAAUAAAAGUAGUUAAAGAGUAUUCCCAACAAACAAAUCGAAAUCAACUAACUUAAUUUCAAGUGUUUAAAUACCAAAUAAAACAAAAGUUUUGAACUUCCCUUAAUAUCAAUAUCAUUAUAGAAAAUGUUCUGUUAUAAACAUACAGAAUUUUUUGUAGAAAAGAAUGAAUACGAAUUUCUUGUCUUAAAAGACAAUAUGAUUGUUAAAUUCAAAUGAUUGUUAAAAAAAGCAAUUAUCCUUUAAUCUCAUAACAAACUACAGUGCACGUGGUUAACAAGUGUUUAAAAAAAACAUGUCAUUUUGACAUUUUAAUUUCAAACUUAUUUUUUUUCUUGCGGUCGCCGCACGUAUAUAAUUCUUAAAAUAGUUUUCGUAUAAAUAUAACCACUGAAUAAUCACUAAUAUAAAGAACAUUUAAGACGGUAUUUGUCACCUUAAUGUUAAAGUAUUGAUCUAUUUAAUAUAUUAAUAAUUAAUAUCAACCUGAUAAUAUGUCUCCGGAUCGCCAACUUGGGUAGUGGCCAAAGUGAUUUUAUCGAACGCAAUAAUUCGGUUAGUCUAAGAUGGUCAGUGACUUUUAACGCAUUAAAACAGACAAUUACAUAUGAUUGUGUAUUCAUUUCGGAUUAGAAACAAUAUAAUAAAUCUACUAAGUUGUACUUAAUAUGGUUAUUACAAUAUUUAAUUGUGUUUUAUUUUUGGAAUCAAGUACUUGAUGGUACCGUGUGGAAUAAUUGAUCUAGAUAAAAUCCAAGUAUUUAAAAGCACUCUCACCAAAUAUAGAUAUGAAUAGUUUUUCGACUGAUGGACUAGACUGCACUAUGAAUUAUUAACGUUGAAACUCUCUACAUUUAUAAACAGAACGUUAUUAUUAUUAUAAAAAGAGGACUUUGUCUAAGGGAGCUACCAUUAUAUUUUAAGUGGGGCUAGGAAGAAAAAAAAACUGUCCUGUUUUUUGUUUUAGUUGUAAGUUGUCCUGCAUUUUUUCUCACUCUAUUUGGUCCUGUCCCUUUAUUAUAUUAGUUAACCGUGACUUAAUUUAAAUAAAUUGUAAUCCUGCUUUUUUUUUAAAACUAAAAACCCUGCCCUUUGUCAGAUUUCGUCCUACCCCUCCCCACAAAUAAAAAUCAAAUGGAAGUUCCAUAACAAUUUUACCUCUUUAUGUUAUUUUUGUCUCUUGGUAGCUGUCUAAUUGGGAUAAACUCAACAUUUCUUUUUUUCUUCAUUUUAAGCAUUCACUUACAAGGUAAUUUCUAAUAUAAAGAAAUAUAAACAAAACACAGCUCAAUUAAAGACUUCGAGACUUAGAGUAUUGAAAUUAAGUUGGAAAAAUUGGAAAUUAACAAACUGCUUCAUCCAAACUUUAAUUUUGAGUAUCUGAAAAUAAUAUGCAACACACAAGCAUCAAUAUCGUAAAAAAUAUUAAAAUAAAACUAAAAUGUAUAACACACUGAAUAAUAAUAUUAAUAAUAAUGAUAAAAUAAUAAUAAUUUGAUUAAUUAAUUAUUAUUAAAAAAAAAAAAUAAUAAAUAAUAAUAAUAAUAAUAAUAAUAAUAAUAAUAAUAAUAAUAAUAAUAAUAAUAAUAAUAAAAUAUAAUAAUAAUAAAACAAAUGCAUCAUCUAAAAUUUAUUGUAUAAUUGUAUAAAAUCUCAUGUUUUAGAAAAGUACAAUAAAAGUUCAGUAAAGAAAACGAUAAGAAAAUAUUAUAUUUGAAUGUUGCUUAGGAAUAUAUAUAAUUUAAUAUUUAUAAAUGUUGUUAUUAAAAGCUACUAUCCUUUGAAGUGUUAUAGUGACCUUUGUGUAUUUGGCAUGAGUAACAUAUAAAACAUACUGUAACACUUUCAAUCAAUAAUCAUUUGAAAGCAGCUUAACUUGAUCGAACCGUUUGCAGCUAGAUAUUAAUAUACGGGAGUCAAUGUAUUUAUAACUCGUGAAUCACAAGGUAUCUUAAAUUAAUGCAGAUUUCAAUAACUAAAAAUUCCCAAUCAAUUUCCCUUGUCUCUGCGCAUGUUUCGGAAACUAAAAUAAGUCGGAGGUCAACAUCCGGAAGUGUGCAAGAAAGAUCGACCAUUUACUCACCCAAGUCAAAGACGUAUCAGGCAAAUCGCCAGUGCUUUCUAUACAUAUAUUUCAACCAAUCAAAUUGUGAGUUUUGUUUGACAGACUACCACAAAUACCCGCGUUUUCUCAGUACAUUUUUAAUGUUUAGGAUUAAAUCGACAAUUAAAGAUCCGAUAAAACAAUUACUGACCAUAUGUGUAUCUGUGAAAAAAUUUUGCUGGCUACCUUUGGAAUGCAAGAAAACGAAAAUGAAUCUAUACAAGUCUCUUUUACAAGGGAACAGGCUAUUGUUGAAGUUGCAGCCAGGCUCAGAUGUAUUGGGGAUGAUAUAAAUAAGCGAUAUUCUGCUUCUAAAUCUAAGGAUGUUUUUUACCCUUUCCAGAAUGCAAUUUUCCAGGAGGUUCUUUUGGAAAUGAAAAGACAUUUUCUACAUUUUGCAGGCUAUUUACAACCUAAGUGAAAUUACUUAAGGUACGUUUGUUUCGAAUUAUUGUAAAGAUUUUUGUAGCGUAUAUUAUUGCUAAUUUUAUGAAAAAUGUUGAUUGUUUUUAAAUUGAAAUUUUGAAUAUAAAGAUAUAAUUUAAUUUAUGCAAAUUAAACUGGAUGUAUAUUUUAUCAUUGCAUACUUCUUUUGCUUUUGUUUUUAGGAAGCAUAUAUGUAUAUAAAACAGAUAAAUAAAGUAUCUUAAAGACACAAAAAACUUUAUACAUACAUUAUUUAUUUCUUUUUGUUGUAUUUUCAGAUUCAGACGUCACCGUUUUACAUCCCAGUGAAUGGAAGAAUACACUUCCAAAAAAAAAAAAACAAAAAAAAAAAACAAUGCCAUGAAAAUCAUCGACAUCAUAUAUUAUUCAAGCAUUUUCUGAUUUCAUCUCUAGUCAUCCAAAAAAAAAAACCAAGGAAAUUUCGUAAUCAGAAGUUAAGACGAAAAAGUAUUUGUUCAGGUGGACCCUAUGUGGUAAACAGAUAACAGCAGAUAAAGAAGAGGGUCUUCCGGUACGGACGAUGAACUGUUCAGAGACAGUCUGGUACUGCAAUGUAAUCACGCGGGAAAAGUUGAUUAAUAAAUAUGAUCAUUAAUUCAUACAGAUGUUGGACUAAGUGUCACUGACAGACAAUAAUAAGAUAAAUUAAACAUGAGAGUAUUACUGACAGUGAGUGUAAGUGAAGAAUGGCGCCCAUUUCUGUGGUCUUAUACGGAGCAUAUUUACUAGAGAAUCUUUAAUAAAAAAAACGUUUUCGUUUUUUCUGAAUUUUUACAAUUAUAACUUUUAAUGUGCAAUACGUUCUUAUAUUUUUUCAAGCUCUAUUACGUUUGAUACGAGUUAUUUUUGUGAUAUGUUGAUAUACUGUAUAUAUACUAAGUAUGAUAUUUUAGUUUUAAAAAAAUUCAUAAUCAAGUGUCAAAUAACUGUAUUAUUCAGAAUCUUAUAUAUAUAUCGUUUUAAAUACUCUAAAUGGAUCUAAUUACAUUAAUGUUCUAUACUAAUAUCUUUGAAAAGGUGUGAAGAACCUCGUUUGCUUUUAUGUUGGAUCGCUACUUCAAAUUUUAAUGCAACACCUGUUGUGUUUACAAAUCGAAAAUCUACAAUAUUUAAGCAGCUUAUACCUUUGUAAAGCACUAUUUUGAUAAAUAAAGUAAUAAGAGUUUUAAACUUUUAAGUGAAAUAUAAUAUUUUCUUUUUGUGCAGUUAAACUAAGUUUAAAAUAUUUAAAAUUAAAUCAAUUUUCCAUUAGUUUUGUCGUAAUAAUAGUUUUUCUAUUUGAAAAUUAUUUUAAAUAUCAUUAUACACAUUCCAAUAUAUUUUAGUUUUAAAAACUCCAUCGGAAAUCAUAAUUUGUAUGUCUUUUGACAAAGUUAUUGACAUUUAAGCAUUGUUUUAAUACUUUUGAAGUACAUUGUAUGUGUUAAAAUCAAUUAAAUGAUUUGUGUAUUCAUGUUUGCUUUGCCCUUGUAUCAAUGUAGGCAAACAGCCCGGUGAUAAUUAAUAAAAACGAUCAUUUUCAAUUUAAACAUGAAAAUCAAUCAUUUUAUUUAUUCUAUAACUUAUAUGUAUUGAAUACAUAAUUUAAGUGCUAUAAAUGAUUUCAUUUUAUUAUAUACAGGGAAUUUACUUGUGAAUUAUAUAUUGUUGUUAGUCAAAAUAUUUGUUUUCAAUAUUUUCUAAUUCGUUUCUGAAUGUAGUUGUUUUUCCAAAAGAUUUGUGUCUUUUGUAAGAUCGUACAGGGUAAUUAUUUUUCAUUUUACAAAUCUGAAAAUUCUGUAUGUUUUAUGAGUGAACAAUAUUGAUUCAUAAAUUUACAAAACGAAAAAUUCAGUCUACAAUUUUAGAAGCGAACGAAAUGAAAAAUGUGUUAUGUGUUCCCAAAAAAAAUUAAUGAAUAUAUCAGUUCUUAAGUAUGAAGAGAUAUUUAUGUGUAUGCAUGUGUGUGUUAUAAAAGUUCUUUCUACAAUAGAUAUACCUCAGAAAUAUGUAUUUCAUGUGUUGAAUUUUACAAAAAACGUUUGUCAAACAAAUGUUGAUAAAUCUUUGAACUGUGAUGAUGUUAUGUACUUUACACAUUUGGUGCAAUCACUCAGGUGCCAUUUUUGAUAUUAUACAAAUAAAUGUUUAAUUCUUACAUGUAAAGUGUCUUUAUAUUACUGACCAGCCACUUGACAGAUGAACGGAUUCCCAGAAACGUUGACCGCUUGCUUUAUGUCUUUUGUAGCCUCAGUUUUCACAUUUACAUAUAUACGUGAAAACUUGUUUUUUUUAAUAAACAAGUUAUUUAGUAUGAAAAAAGGGGGGGGGUCAUAAAAAAAAGAAGACGAGGCAUAAUGACGGAAGAUGUAAUCACUAUUAUACGUUAUCGUAUGGUCUUCAACAAUUACCAAAUUCAAUAUCGUAAAGUCACCUUUCAAUGGCCCCGUCAUGACAAAAUAUGAAGCAAUUCAAAUACACAAAGCAAAAGCGUCACAAAAAAUCUUACAGACAGCAACCAACGAUUGCCACUGAAUAAUGCAGUUUAACACUCAUUCUAAGAUUGAUUUUUUAAAGUUGACGAAGUUAUGUUAUCAAGCAUUUUAGAAGUAUCCCUUCUUGCAAUAGUUACUUAAACCAGAAAACAUGCGUAUAUCGCUAAACGAUCUGUGAACAAAACAUUUAGUAUUAAUUAUAGAUUGGCGGGAUAAGUCAUCGUUUUAUAAGUCCAUAUCCAGAACUUUUGAAACGUUUUAUUUUAUUUGGAUUUCCAUGCCUACAGUUAUAUAAUGUUUCUCAUUUAUGUCCAACUUUAAUUUCCCCAUCACCUUCCAUCAAUAAAAAUCAGACGUUUUAUUUAGAUUCCAUUUACUAGUAAUUGUUGAUAACUCAUACAGGCUUGAAUAUAUCCCCGUUCUUUAAAAGGGUAUGCACUUUUCAAUUACAGUCGGGGAUGUUUGCUUGAGAGAGCUGUCAAAAUAUUCUAUUAAUUGAUGUUCUAUUUCUUUUACUGCAUGUCAUUGAUCAAUGAGGGGGGGCAAGGGGGGUCCCAAUAACAGCAAAACAGCAAAUUGAUUUGGCUUAUAACAGAUAACAAGGAAUUAAAAUGGACAAAAACAGAUAACAGUAAAUGAAAUAUUAAAAUAAGUCGAGUCCUUGACAAAUCCAAUAUUUCUCAUUACGGGUAUAAUCCUUUGUAAUGAAUUCCAUUUUCUAUGAACAUGGUUUUUAGAAUUAUGUAUCUAGAUAUGUAUUUGGUAUAUUUUUGUCCGUCUGUCGUCAACAUAUCGGACAUAAACUAAAACACUCUUUAACCAAUUUACAUAAAACUUUGGGAAAUUGUUUAUAUCUAUUGACGUGAGCUCCCUAUCGUUUUUUUUUUUUUAUAAAUUUUAGAUUUUAAGUUUCUGAGUAAUGGGGUUUUAUUCAAUAAAAAUGGUGGUUUUUUUUCAGUUUUCUGAUAAUAUCUCAAAAAUCCUUUCACAAAUUUGCAAGAAAUUUUGGUGAAUUGUUUAUAUCUAUUGACAUGAGCUCCCUUUUAAUUUUUAUAAGUUUUAGAUUUUACAUUUCCGAGUUAAGGGGUUUUAUUAAUUAACAAGGGGGCGUUUUCUUGUUUUCGGACAUUAACACUAAAACGUUUUCAGCAGUUCUCAUGAAACUUUGCUGAAUUGUUUAUAUCUAUUAUUGUUGUGAGCCAUUUUUGAUUUUAUGUUAUUCAGUUUAAAAGGGAUUGGUUCAUUAAAAAAAAUGGUAUUUUCCUGUUUUCAGACAAUAACUCAAAAAUGUUUUCAGCAGUUCUCAUGAAACUUUGGUCUAUUGUUUAUAUACAUGAUAUAUAUUGACUGAUUUUUAUAAAUAUUUGAUAUGACAUUGAGAAGUUAUUGAAUAUUUCAAAAAGGUGACGGGCGUAUCAUGCGCUAAUGGCGUAGCUGUUUAUUUGUUAUAGUAUACUUUUUCAGCAUAUUUUUUUUAAAUAGUGAGUAAUAAAAUUGAGAAGGAAAAUGAGGAAUAUGUCAAAGAGACAAAAAGAAUAUCUAGUAAAAAUUCAAGGGCAGUUAUGGUAUCAAAGUAGGUCCAAUUGACAUAGUUCUUGUGUUUGUUUGCUACUAAAAAUGACCUAAAAGAGUUUGAAUAUAUAUAUUCGCAUUCUGACUUUUUAAAUGCCCAUUUAAUGAGGUGUGUGAUUUUUUCUUAAUAAGACUAUGAGGCAAAGUUGUAUAUAGGGUAGAAAAAUCAAAAGCCCCAAUUAUAAGCAUGCAAUUUAUCAAGUACCUCGAACCAAUUUUGACACUCCAAAAGUAAUUUAAUCCACUAUUUACAAAGGCCUUAUUUGAACAAUUUUUUAUCAGGUUUUUGAUUGUACCAAGUCUACUAAUAAGUAGAAUACAUAGUUUAGUAGUGGAACGAUGGCAUGAACGAAAUAAAUCUUUGUUUGUAAUGAGGUAUGUGCAGCUUCGGAACCUAGUACAUGGUGGGAACUUUCAUUGUACAAUGUAUUUGGUUCUGCUAUGAAAAGAGCUGAGUCUAUGUACUAUAUAAUAUAAAAGGAUAAGUGGUUGUAAGGACCUAGUCCUUAAUUGAGAUCCUUGUCAGAUAUUCCUGGCCAUAUGUUUUCCUUUUUGUCAUAUUAAGAAUUGUUCUAAUUUAAUAUGUCCAUUCGUGGCUGUCAAAAUUUUUUUCUAACAUUCCAAUUUUCGAUAACAGUUAACAGCAAAUACAUUAUCACAAUAACAGAUAACAAAAAAACUAAAAGCCCAAUAACAGCUAACAAAGAAUAAGACAAUAACAGCUAACAGCAAAUAUAUUUUCAGAAUAACAGAUAACAAAGAAUUAAAAUGCCCCAUAACAGCAUAACAGCUAAACCCCUUGCCCCCCCCCCCAUCAAUGUGGAAAGUGAAGAGUUGUCUUAUUGGCAGGCAUGUCACAUCUUCUUAUUUUUAUAAUUAAUAUAUAUUUUGUCCCUUAGAAUUUAUAUCCGAGGUUGAAUAGUAGAGAAUAAAAAGAAGAUAGGCUUUUUAUGAAACAAAAUUUCAUCAAACAUGUAUAACGCCAACAGUUAAGAUAUCGCGUGGCGUGAGGAUGGACCAAUUGUCUUCUGUUGGUAUCUUCCGCCAUGCAAUUGAUGCUUAAACACAUUAUUGGCAACAAAUGUGCGAUUUUCAAACUUUCUAGUCCCUUUUAUCCAAAACGAUCCACUUUACAGUAAAUUGAACUUACUGUAUAUAUUAAUUGUAAAUUUGAACUCGUCCCGAAUUUGCAUGAAAUAUUUGACGCUGGAUGAUAUAAAAAAUAACAGUAGACGAAUCAUUGUGUUUGCCUUGACACAGUCUCAUUGUGCUACUGGGUCGGAAAACCAUAACGCGAUCAACCAUUUAAUUAACACUAGCAAAUUUUCAUGAUAUCUUCAAAUAACUUCACAUCGUCUCGAUAGUAUCGCGGCUUGAGUGUUCGCCAGUGCACGAAUGCUGUAUGAGGUUGAUUCGAUCCCCUGUCAAGUGUGGAGACUGAUAAUUGAAUGCUACUGCUAAGUACGCGGUAUGUAUAGAAGUUAAAGUAAAGAAUGAUGGGCUCGGAAUCAGAAUAAUGUGUCAGGUUAUUCUUGGUCCGUGUAAAACUUAUCAAUUCAAAGUUUUAAAACGUUUUGAAAUUUUAGAUUUUUGGAAUUUUGAUCAAAGUUUUAAAAUAUCAAAAUUUCAAAUUGCGUAAAAGUUUUGAAAUUUUGAAAGUUUAACCAAAUAAAUAAAAUAUCAAAAUUCUAAAUAUCGUUUUUAAAAUUUGAUAGUUUAAAAAUUUGAUCAAACUUUUAAAAUACUAAACCUAACGUGCAAUUUUGAUUAUUUCACUUUUUGAAAGUUUGAUAUUUUAAAUUUUUGAUUAAAUAUCAAACUAGAAAAGGGCGAAAAGAGGGAAACAUAUACACACGGCACUAUUUAAAACCGGCAUCAAAUAGGCCAGAGGCUCCUGAAUUGGGACAGAUGCAGGCCCACAAAUGCACAUGUUUCGUGAGAUCACAACCCCCCCCUCUACCUCUAGAAAAUGUAGAAUGAACUAACAUUCACACAGUUAAUUAAACACACUUUAAAAGAAAUCCAAGUUCUAUGUCAGGGGCCGUGUCAAUGAAAGUAUCCUAGGACAUGUCCUAAGAUAGGUCUUAGGACAUUAUUUAGGAUGGUCUUAGGACGUGUCUGAGACAUGUCUUAGGAUGUAAAACAAAGCUGUCUUAGGACAGUCCUAACUACGAUGGUCCUAUGACCAUCCUAACACAUUUAUUUAAUUGAAAAUAUAUGUAGAGAUUUGUAUGACAUAGAUUGAAUUGUAUUUUAGAACCUAUAUGUAAAGAGAGGGAGGAUGACUCUUAUAUAAAAAACAAUAACCCCAAAAUUAAAGUUAAAGUUUUUACGGAAUACUAUUAAUAAAUACGUUAUUAAAUAUAAUAAAAGAUAUAAAUGAAUUUAAUACGAAAACAAAAGUAAUUGGUCACAAAACUUUGUGAUAUUCGUGCUGCAAUUUUAGUACAUAAACUAGUUUUGUCCUUAGGUCCACUCGAUUUCAUUACAUGUAUCGAAUCAGGAUUAGGUAAAAAAAGAAGUAAACUUUUCCCCAUAUUUGAAUUAUUUAAAAUAUGUUGCUUAUGAUGAGUAUUGUUUAGGCUUCAAAAAAGGCAGCACGAAAUAAUUUUAUAUAAUACAAUCAAAUCUUUAACAAACAUUAAACAAUAUUUGUUUUUUUUUAAUUUUAUCUAAUGAUAGUUUAAUAUUGUAUUAGUAUUUUUAGUAUUGAGUUUAUGUCAUAUUUAUUGUUUUUAUUACGUUUUAGGACGAUGUAACCUUUAGGACUAUCCUAAGACACCUAAUUGUAUAUUAACAGGACCGAAAUGGACAUUUAUUUUAGGAGACUUUCGUAACCGUAGGACUAAGACUGUCCUAAGACCAUCCUAAGAACACUUUAAAAGAAGCCAAGUCCUAUGUCCAGAAUAGGAAACAUAAGAAAGUAAUCAAAAUGACAAUGUUAAUAAAUUAACAAAGGACUGCCAUAUAUAUAUAAAGCCAGCUCCAGACCUCAAUUAAACUAAUUGAAAGAUAAUGUCUUCAUCAAAUGAAUAACAAACACAAAUCCUCCCUGGUGUAUUUAUUGCUAUCAUUCAUGAAAUAUUUGUCACUGACAACCAAAAAUCGAUAAUUCAAAAUAGGUUCUUUACAUACAAAUUUCAAAGAAACUCAGGAUUCAGCUGGCUCGGGCAAAGUAGCCCUUAUAGAUGUAUUUUGGUAUGUUUAAUAGAUAAAGGAAGAUGUGGUAUGCGUGCCAAUGAGACACUCGACAUCCAAAUAACAAUUUAUAUAAGUAAACCAUUAUAGGUUAAGGUAAGGCCUUCAACACGGAGCGUUGGCUCACACCGAACAGCAAGCUAUAAAGUGCCCCAAAAAUUACUAGUGUUAAUCAUUCAAACGGGAAAACCAACGGUCUUAUCUAUAUCAAAACGAGAAACACGUAUGAACUACAUCAACAGAAGACAACCAUUGUACAUCAGAUUAACUUCAUUUUGGCGAAAACACUCUUCAAUUGAUUCGGUUCUUAUAUAUACUUCACUUUCAAAUAUUCAGUUUUCAGUGUUCUGUAGGUGAAUGCUUUACUUGAAAUUCAGCAUUUUACAAUGUACUGGUUUUUCGAGAGCAACAUUGGUGUAUGGCCAAAAAUGGAAAAAUCCAUCAUGCAGCUGACAGCGUGGCACUCUCUUUACACGUCCCAUUCUGAUUGGACGUACCUGUGUUCUUUUACUUUGAUUCAAGUUGAUUAUCGUUCGAUAACUUAAAAAUGCAUAAAUAACAAAUACGGAAAAAUGAUAUCUCUUGAUACCAAAAAAAAACCCUUUUCCUUUUAUGUGCCAUUUUAAAAAAAACAGAGGUUGAUUUAGAGCCCCCAAUGGAGCUACGUAUAUGAUAAAUGCAUAUACUUUUUACAAGCAUCAGUCCAAACGUUAUCUAAGGGAGCUCCCAUUUAACUCCAAAAGUUGUUUUAUUGAAGUUAAAAAAAUCGCGCUAAAGCUCUUAAAAUUUCAAUUUAUGAAGUUUUUUUUAUCGCUAUUGAUCAAAUUAUUUGGUUCAAAAUUUAACACUUUAAGGUAUGGGGGGAAUCUGGAUUCAGAUGAUAUUUGUUUUGUCCUCUGCUUGCACAGAUUUUUCCCCUAUCAAACUGGGGUUCAAAAUAUUUUUAUGUACCAUUAUUGAAGCCCCUCGGGAAUGUAUCCAAGUAAAAUAAAAUUUAAAAAAAAAGUGUCACCUUAGUGACAAUAUUUAUAUAUCAGAUUCCCAAAUAAGAUUACCAUUUAUCGCUAAUAUAAAAUAUUCAAAAUAUUUUUUUAAUUUUCAAAAUGCCGACGCCUACAAGUGGAUAUACAUUACAUGUAAAUGAAGCCUGGGAAUGUGUAUGGUAUACGUUUAUGAUAAAUAUGAUGAAUGUGUUCAGCUUUUACAAAACCAGAACGAUAAGUUGUAUGUUAACGUUUCUUAUUUUUUUUUUAAAUUUUUUACCUUUUUAAUUUAAUUUGGUUUUAUUGGCUUUUUUAAAACUUAAUUUGAUUCGAGUGUCUUNNNNNNNNNNNNNNNNNNNNNNNNNNNNNNNNNNNNNNNNNNNNNNNNNNNNNNNNNNNNNNNNNNNNNNNNNNNNNNNNNNNNNNNNNNNNNNNNNNNNNNNNNNNNNNNNNNNNNNNNNNNNNNNNNNNNNNNNNNNNNNNNNNNNNNNNNNNNNNNNNNNNNNNNNNNNNNNNNNNNNNNNNNNNNNNNNNNNNNNNNNNNNNNNNNNNNNNNNNNNNNNNNNNNNNNNNNNNNNNNNNNNNNNNNNNNNNNNNNNNNNNNNNNNNNNNNNNNNNNNNNNNNNNNNNNNNNNNNNNNNNNNNNNNNNNNNNNNNNNNNNNNNNNNNNNNNNNNNNNNNNNNNNNNNNNNNNNNNNNNNNNNNNNNNNNNNNNNNNNNNNNNNNNNNNNNNNNNNNNNNNNNNNNNNNNNNNNNNNNNNNNNNNNNNNNNNNNNNNNNNNNNNNNNNNNNNNNNNNNNNNNNNNNNNNNNNNNNNNNNNNNNNNNNNNNNNNNNNNNNNNNNNNNNNNNNNNNNNNNNNNNNNNNNNNNNNNNNNNNNNNNNNNNNNNNNNNNNNNNNNNNNNNNNNNNNNNNNNNNNNNNNNNNNNNNNNNNNNNNNNNNNNNNNNNNNNNNNNNNNNNNNNNNNNNNNNNNNNNNNNNNNNNNNNNNNNNNNNNNNNNNNNNNNNNNNNNNNNNNNNNNNNNNNNNNNNNNNNNNNNNNNNNNNNNNNNNNNNNNNNNNNNNNNNNNNNNNNNNNNNNNNNNNNNNNNNNNNNNNNNNNNNNNNNNNNNNNNNNNNNNNNNNNNNNNNNNNNNNNNNNNNNNNNNNNNNNNNNNNNNNNNNNNNNNNNNNNNNNNNNNNNNNNNNNNNNNNNNNNNNNNNNNNNNNNNNNNNNNNNNNNNNNNNNNNNNNNNNNNNNNNNNNNNNNNNNNNNNNNNNNNNNNNNNNNNNNNNNNNNNNNNNNNNNNNNNNNNNNNNNNNNNNNNNNNNNNNNNNNNNNNNNNNNNNNNNNNNNNNNGGCGGCAAUCAAAUUGUGUCGUGCAUUACUCAUGAAACCGUUCAACCAAGCUUUUAAAAUUUUAAUAUGUUGUUACUGACAACUAAAUGAAGGUCAAGUUCAAUAAUGGCGAUUUUUACUCUUACCGUUCAGGAGUUAUGGUUCUUGAAAGAUUGAAAAAUGGAGUUUCCAGUCGUGUCUGUGCAUUUACGCAUGAACUAUUCUACCAAAGCUUCCCAAAUUUUGAUAUGUUGUUACUGAUGACAAAAUGGAGGUCAAGUUCAAUAAUGAGGAUUUUGACUUUUACCGUUCAGGAGUUGUGGUUCUUGAAAGAUUGAAAAAUGGAGUUUUCAGUCGUGUCCGUACAUUUACGCAUGAACUGUUCUGCCAAGCUUCCCAAAUUUUAUCAUGUUGUUACUGUGACAAAUAGAGGUCACUUCACUAGACGAUUUUGACUUUUACCGUUCAGGUGAGUUUUGGUUCUUUGAAAGAUUGAAAAAAUGGUGUUUCCAGUCGUGUCGUGCAUUUUCUCAUAACAUUCAACAAGCCUUUUGAAUUUUUAUAUGUUGUUACUGUGCGACACAAUAGAGGUCAAGUUCAUAAUGACGAUUUUUGACUUAUUACUAUUCAGGAGUUUAUGGUUCUUGAAAGAUUGAAAAUGGCGUUUCCAUCAAGUUGUUGCAUUUACUCAUGAACCUUCAUCUAAGCUUUUCAAAUUUAAUAUGUUGAUACUGAUGAAAAUAUGGAGGUCAAUUUGAUAUGAUGAUUUUCACUUUCACCAUUCUCAUAGUAUGGUUUUGUGAUAUUGCCCAGGACACAAAUAAAUAUUAAUAAAUCCGGUUUGCUGUCGUUGUGACAGCCUCUUGUUUAAGUCUAUCAUAGGGCAUACUGGAACUCCAAAUAAAAGAAACAAUUUAAUUUGUGGCCAAACCUAAUCAAGGAAUCUACUUACUAUUUGUGAGGAGCUCCUUCAGAUUGUGAUGUGCAUCAGUUCCUUACAUUAAAAAAAAAUGUGCUCCUAGAUAAAUUCCUAUCUGUUGUUGGAUAAGGUGCAAAAACCAACUUUCAAGUCACAUUUUAUAUUUAUCCAGCUAUUAAUAAGUACCUGACUUAUAACUCUAGAUCAUGGGGGAGGGAAGCACAAUAAGUAGUUAAUCAAAAUCACUAGAGAACAUGCUAACAGUGCAAUGUGUAUAUACUAAUUAACUGGUCACAUAAACUUACUGUUAGUACAUAGUGGUGGUAUAUAUAUAUAGAAUGACCUCACUACCGAUAUUGUCUGUCACACAGGGGUAAGUUAAUUUUCCUAUGUAAUAUGAAGGCUUCAGAUCGACUGUGGGUGAGAUCAGCUUUAAAUUAUCAUUUAUUAUGGUCAUCAAGUUUAUAAACAUUGCAACAUUUUUCUUUUCUAAGUAACUAAGUCCAGCAUGAUCACUGAUUCUCAGAUUCCCUAACUGGCUUAGCUGAUAUUUGUUAUGUCGGGCAUCUAUCAUAAUAAUACCAUGAUAGUCAUAAUAAUUAUAAUUUACAUUUUUAUUCCACAUGAAGUUACAUUUUUUUCAACUUGUCAACACUAGUUCAACAAAUUCUUUAUGCUCUUCACUCAAAGAAAACUGAAUGUGCACAUUUAAUUCUACAAGUAUGUAUAAUUUUUAUUGUAACAUAAGACAUUCCUGAUUUGAUCCUCUGAUUUUGUAAUCAGUGUGAUAUUCCACUGAACAAAUACCAUUUUCUAUAGCAUGUGAUUGAUAUAUUGAAGAUUUAUUUGCAUUUAAAUAAGACACAUGCUUCAAUUUUCAAGUUAAAUUUACAGCUUUUUUUCUCCACAGUCCAGGUAUUGUUUUUGGAAACACAUUAACCAGUAACAAAAUCCUUUAAAAGUUCAAAAAGCUAAAACAAAUAUUGCAAAAAAAAAGGGGGGGUAAUUUCUUUUAGGUUUUAUAUCAAAUAAACUUAUAUCAUGUAUAUCAAGUAAAUGUUCAAAAAGCUAAAACAAAUAUUGCAAAAAAAAGAGGGGGUAUGUGAUAUUGAAAACAUAUACCCAGUACAAAAUCCUUUAAAAGUUUAAUAGCUAAAACAAAUAUUGCAAAAAAAAAGAGGGGGGGGGGGUAAUUUCUUUUAGGUUUUAUACCUGACUUGUACUGAACUAUAAUUACUUAUAUCUUUUUCAAAUGAACUCUGGUGGUUAGUUGUCUCAUUCCACUUCUCCUUAUUUUUUUUAUAAUUACCAGACUAAUAAGUUUCAAUCAACAUUACUUUCUUUUGAAUUUCGCAGUUUACAUGUUUGGAAUUUUAUGAAUUGUCCAGUGACAAGAUUUUCACAGAUUCAACUUAAAAUAUUACAUGACAUAACAAAUACUAUUCCCUUUAUUUUAUCAUUUACAGUCUCGCCCCUAAAAUGGUAAAUUUUAUCACUAAUUAAAAAAUGAUAAAAUACCUGUACUUUAGGUAAAACAUGUUCAGAAUAUUAGGAAUUGUCCAGUGAGAAGAUUUUCACAAAUUCAACUUAAAAUAUUACAUAGAAUAACAUAUCCUCCCCUGUAUUUUAUCAUUUACAAUUUUUCCCCUUAAAUGGGUAAUCACUAAUAUUAGGAAUUGUCACGAUUUUCACAGAUUCAGCUUUAAAUAUUACAUAACUCAACAAAUUUUACCCUUUAUUUUAUCAUUAAAUUUACAUUGCCCCUAAAAUGGCAAAUCACCAAAAAUGACAAAGUACCUGUACUUGAGGGAAAGAACAAAGUGUACGUAAUGACUGACAGGGAGAUGUGAGGUGUACAUGUACCUAUUUACAUAAUUGAAGGAUAAGAUCAGCCCAUGCAAUAUAUAUUCCUGUGACAUUCAAUUUUAUCAUUACUCAUACUUCAAAAACUAUUGGGAGAUUUAAAAUGGUGUUUUAAAGAAGGUAAUGAUGAUUUUACAUAUUGAUUUCAAUACUGUGGCAUUUCAAUAUUUAUCUUCUCUUUAAUUUAAAAUGUGAUCGUUUCACAGCCUGCUUUAUAAUUGGUUUAUUAUAUAAUUAUGGGUUACACUUUUUGCAUUAUAGAACUUUAAAAAUUCAUUUAAACUUCAGACAGGAAAUUUGUAACAAAUAGCAAACCUUUACAUGCACCUUUGACAUUUUAAAAGUUUGUUUAGAUAAUUUUCUCUAUAAUGUCAGCCUGAUGUCUUAUACAUGUGUUUAAACAAAGUUAAGCAAAUAAUUACAUGUUACUAGUAUGCAUAAAUCUUUACUAGUAUGGUACAUGUUACUAAUGGAUAACAGCAGACUUAGGUUUAACCCUGAAACAAGUAUCCUUAACAUAAAUGUUAUUCCCCAGUCUUUUCUCUACUUGACAACUCUUCUAUCACAGCUUUAACUUUUAUUUAUCAAUCAGCAUCAUAUAAAUAUUUCAUGAUAAAUAUGUGACUGAAUUUAUAUAUAUAUAUUAUAAAGUUCAGGAUUUGAAGGUUAAAUGUGAUCCAGAGGAAGUAUUAUGACUUUCAGGAUUUGUUUAUUUUUGAGCAGAGAAUAUGUUAUGUCACUUUCAGGAUUUGUUUAUUUUGAGAUAUAGAAUAUGUUAUGAUUUUAAGGAUUUGUAUGGCUUUCAGGAUUUGUUUAUUAUGAGCCAUAGAAUAUUUCAUGAUUUUAAGGAUGUGAUUGUUGUUUACAGAUGCCAUUGGACACAGUAAGAUAGCACGCGAGGUCUUUAAUGAUAUGCUUCUAAAGCUGAUAUUGCAUUUUUGUUAUAUACAAACAUAUAUUUUAUACCAAAAUAGUAUAUACUUUAAACUCUUCAUUCAAGUAUUUUAUUUAUAUUUUCUGCCUAUUUCAAAUAUUUAUAAAGCUGUCGCUUCUGACAUAAGAUUUACUGUGGAUUCAUUAUUUAUGGAUUUCGUGGAUAAAGGGGAACCUCAAGUAUAUAGUGUAAUUUUAUUCUGACAAGUAAGUAUUUUCAAAACUUUUUCACAUAUGUUGGAAUAUUGGUUUUUAGAUUGUUAGUUGGAAAAGAUUUUAGUGUAGACUGUAUGAAUCCACAGAAAUUAAUUUUAUCUUCAAAAUUUGCAACUCUGUAAACAAAUUAUUUAGCUUUCCAAAUAUUAUGUUAAGUACUGAAAAUAAGCAAGGAAAAUGAACAUUUAUGCGAUUUCAGAAAAAAACUAUUUACUCAGGUACAAUUACAUUAAAGGCAUGAUUUUGAUAAAACAGGAAACCUGGUGUAGGGCAUGCCUAUGAAGAAAUCUGCUAUUGAACAUGUUGAAAGGAUCAUUAUCAAUAAUCCUCAUUACUGAGGUGGGCUAUUCUGGUUACCCUUUGUCUGUCCACAACACAUGUCUGUUUAAUUUUCCCUAGCUACAACUUACAAGUCAUGGCUUAUUGAUAUGUGACUCCAAGCUUUAACAUGUUAUUUAUACACCAUACAAUGUGACACAUUUUCAGUUCUUUGGACGUUCUACUUCUUCUUUGUCGAAAACUUGUAAUUUUAAAAAUGUCACAUGCACAUAUACAUAUAUAUAUAUAGAUCAAAUUAAUGUAACAUUUUUGUAAGCAACUACAAGUUGUACAGUCUUUAUAUGUAUAGGGUUUGAUCACUGAGCAAUAGAUAGUUUAAAAGUGAUUUUGGCUGAUUUAAUAAGGAAUUUUUUCACAUUGACCUCUAACAUGGGAUCAAAAGGGGAACAUCUAUAGCUCACAUUACAUCUGGUUUACCAUCUUUAGAAUCUGUUAUAUACAAUUUCUCCAUAGCUAUGAAAGUUAAGUCAAAGAUAACUGAGCAGUAUAGAUUCCACCAAUUCAGAUAAUUUACCCUUACACUGACUUAUUAAUAGACUUAACACAUUAUAACACAUAAUGUGACAUUGUAAUGUUCUAUUUAAAAACUUUAUAUCUGUGUUUAUAAUUUAUCUAAACAGAUCUUAAUUGAAAUACUUAAAUAAAGUUGAUUUAGAUCAACUGUCAUGCUAAAAAUAGAUAUAUAUGGUCUGGUUUUGACCUUAAAUGGAAACAGGAUAUAGUUGGUCAAACGAAGGUAACACAGCUAUUCAUGUUUAAGUUAUGUUAUGGUUCAUAGAUAAAGCAACAGGUUAAACCAGGAUAAUUUCUAAAAAGAUAAAAGAUGAUACAUACAUGGAUCUAAAGUAAUUCAGUGGAACCUCUUUUGAGGGUCCUCUAUCCUUAGAGACUUGAGUUUACUUAAAACUUGCACACAACCCUUCAAAAUUGAUAUAAAAUAAAUGUAGUUUUAAAAGUCCAGUCUUUUUUUUUGGGGGGUGUAUAUAAAUCCGGAACAGAUUCACACAAAAUUUUACAAAAUGAUUGGAUUGUAACUGUGACAAAUGUAAAACAAAUCAAAUGAGAAAACUAACAUGUUCACAGCUCAUAACAAUGUUUAUUGACGGGAACUAUUUUGAUAUACCUGUGCUAAUUUUGACUAUAAAUGCAAAACAUAUUUAUAUACAUGUUAUGUAUUAUAAUAAUUUUAAUAGGGUUAUUCUGGUUUGGAUCUGCAGGACAUAACAUCUAAGGUUUGUCUUCUUUUUUGGGAAAUGGGUAGCAAGAGUUCUAAGUUCGUCACAGUAACCUAAUUUUGUCUGUUCAGGUUGCUCAUCCAAUUUUAUGAAUUUAACAGAACUAUAUACGGUAUAAAACAACUGUCAUACAAGAGGGAGGUUUAGCUAGAUUUAUAACCAGAUUUUACCCACUAUUUUCUCCUAAAAAUGCUUGUAUUCUUUAAAAAUAAUUUUGGUCAGAAAAUGUAGCCAGUGAUCUGGAAAUCCAAAGUCUAUUCAGAAAUAGGUAUAUAUCCUAAAAUUAGUCCCAUUAUAUGUUUUCAGAGAAGUAUCUUCUGUAUGUUGGUACAAUGUGAGGUAAAAUUGUACUUUGUGGUCAGAAAGAGAUUUUUUUUAAUACAGAUUACCUGACCUAAUUACUGUGAAACUACUCUUGAAAUUUUACGUUGAUUUUUAGCUUGUUGUUAAUAGUUAUUUAGACUUAAAGGAGAUUUUCAUCCUAGUGAGAAUAUUUGAUGAAGGGGGCAGGAACAUAAGUCAUUUUAUAUUAAAAGUAGUUUACAAUUUUAUUUCAUAAAGAAUGUGAUAAUUUCUGAAUUGUAAUAGGUUUUACCGUUUCAACUAUAAAAACUAUCAUUUCCUCGACAUUGAUCAUUUAAUUUAAUCUGCAAAUGAAUAAGUAAUGACUUUUUAUAUUAAUAUACAAGUAUUAUAUAAUACUAGAGAAAUCCAAUGAAUGACAUUCAUUUUAAUCCGUCAAGUAACAUUUUGGGGCUGUUGUUUAUUUAUAGUUUGAUUUGGACACAAUGGAGCAGGAAGGGGCCUAUUACAGGCAGGCACAACAGCUACAGGCGGCCUAUGCUAGAUCUCACUUGGAGCACAUAUGUAAACUGGACAUUGACUCAGAGCCACAUGAGGUCAGAAUGAGUGGCAUCAUUUGUACCAUAGGUAAGUAAACCUAUGUUAGAUCUCACUUGGAGCACAUGUGUAAACUGGACAUUGACUCGGAGCCACAUGAGGUCAGAAUGAGUGGCAUCAUUUGUACCAUAGGUAAGUAAACCUAUGUUAGAUCUCACUUGGAGCACAUGUGUAAACUGGACAUUGACUCGGAGCCACAUGAGGUCAGAAUGAGUGGCAUCAUUUGUACCAUUGGUAAGUAAACCUAUGUUAGAUCUCACUUGGAGCACAGGUGUAAACUGGACAUUGACUCUGAGCCACAUGAGGUCAGAAUGAGUUGCAUCAUUUGUACCAUAGGUAAGUGAACCUAUGUUAGAUCUCACUUGGAGCACAUGUGUAAACUGGACAUUGACUCAGAGCCACAUGAGGUCAGAAUGAGUGGCAUCAUUUGUACCAUAGGUAAGUGAACCUAUGUUAGAUCUCACUUGGAGCACAUAUGUAAACUGGACAUUGACUCAGAGCCACAUGAAGUCAGAAUGAGUGGCAUCAUUUGUACCAUUGGUAAGUGAACUUGUGCUAGAUCUCACUUGGAGCACAUGUGUAAACUGGACAUUGACUCUGAGCCACAUGAGGUCAGAAUGAGUGGCAUCAUUUGUACUAUAGGUAAAUGAACCUAUGUUAGAUCUCACUUGGAGCACAUGUGUAAACUGGACAUUGACUCAGAGCCAUAUGAGGUCAGAAUGAGUGGCAUCAUUUGUACUGUAGGUGAGUAAACCUAUGCUAUAUCUCACUUGGAGCACUUGUGUAAACUGGACAUCGACUCUGAGCCAAAUGAAGUCAGAAUGAGUGGCAUCAUUUGUACGAUAGGUGAGUAAACCUAUGCCAGAUCUCACUUAGAACACAUGUGUAAACUGGACAUCGACUCUGAGCCACAUGAGGUAAAAAUGAGUGGCAUCAUUUGUACCAUAGGUAGGUAAACCUAUGCUAGAUCUCACUUGGAGUACAUGUGUAAAGUUUUUGGUCAAGGUAGUUUUUGAUGAAGUUGAAGUCCAAUCAACUUGAAACUUAGUACACAUGUUUCCCAUGGUAUGAUAUUUCUAAUUUUAAUGCCUAAUUAAAGUUUUGACCCCAAUUUCAUGGUCCACUGAACAAAGAAAAAGAUAGUGCAAAGCUCAGGUUUAAGUUUUGAUAAAAGUUUUUGGUCAAAGUAGUUUUUGAUGAAGUUGAAGUCUUAUCAACUUGAAACUUAAUACACAUGUUCCCUUUCUUAUUUUAAUGCCAAAUUAAAGUAUUGACCCCAAUUUCACGGUCCACUGAGCAUGUAAAAUGAUAGUGCGAGUGGGGCAUCCGUGUGCUAUGGACACAUUCUUGUUAGUAACUGUUUAAAUGUCACCUUUAAUAGCUUCUUUAAGACAGCAACCAGUCAACAAAAGGUGUAAACAUUAUCUUAACCAUUGGCUAAUUUGUAACAAACAAACAUGGCACUGACCUAAAGUAUUCACCAGUACUUUUCACAAUAUUGUGAACUUUUAUAAACAUUCAACCAAAAGUGAUAAAGGGCUGUUCUAGAGAUUUAACAACAUGAACAAGGGUUUCUGUCAAUAUAGAUUGGAAUUUUAUUUGAUGAAUAGAGAUUCUGGAAUCAAUAGAAUUUUUGUUAAUUUACAGGUCCAGCUUGUGUGGCAGUUCCUACUCUACAGAAGAUGAUGAUAGAGGGAAUGAAUGUAGCUCGUCUUAACUUCUCACAUGGAACGUAUGAGGUAGGUUACCAUAUCCAAAGGACUUUUCACUUCAAAUUCACAGCAUCUUCCACUGUAUAGGAUAGACAACUGCUUUAUAUUAAGGACUACUGUGGAUUCAUUAAUAUUCGUUGGAUACCAAUAUUCGUGUAUUUCGUGGGUACAGGAGAACCACGAAUUUAGAUGUUCAACGAAUUACAUUUUUUUUCUAAAGUAAUGUAUGUACACUGUGCCGAAACCACGAACUUAGAUAUCCACGAAAAUGCAAGUUUUCCUCAAUCCACGAAAAUUGGUAUCCACGAAAAUAAAUGAAUCCCCAGUAACUGAAUUUUGUUUCAGAUGAAAGAACUUCACAUGGUCGUUAAAUAUAUGUAAUAUAAAAAUAAGAUGUGAUAUAAUUGCCAGUGAGACAACUAUCUCUAAAAUACCAAAUGACACAGAGAGACAGUGCACAAAACAUAUAUUCUACAGCUGGCUAUAAAAAGCCACAUAGUGACCAUAGUGACUAAAAGGGAAACUAUCCAAAGAAAAAUCAUGUGUUUUUUCUGGAACAGCCCUUAUGUCAUCAAACAAAAAAAAAACCAACAUAAAACACCACGACAGAACAUGCUAUUUUAACCAAUGUUUAAGACAGAUUUUAGUUUCUGAAGUACCUUAACCAAUACUUAACUUAUUAAAAGAAAAAAUGUUAAAAUAUAUGAACAACACAUACAUACUUGAUGUGUUUGUGACCCCGUAAUAUAAUGUUUGUUUUAUGUUUCAGUAUCACGGUCAGACAAUCAAGAACAUCAGAGAGGCCGUUAGUAAGUUCAGUCAUCCCAGACCAGUAGCCAUUGCCCUGGAUACCAAAGGUCCAGAAAUCAGAACAGGAUUACUAGAAGGGGUAAAGUAUUGUUACAAGUUUUGUUCAAAAACCUCCAUUUUACUUCUUGUUUAUAUUAUUGUGUGAGGUUUUAUUUAUUCUCCUAGUUAAACUAUUAAAUUAUGAAAACAGGACAUAACAUAUUUUUUUUUCAUCUCACUUGGCAUUUUUUCCAUUGAUACUAUUUUUAACGUUUACAUCCCAGGGAUGAUUCCACUAUAAAAUUUAGGGCCGCUGAGCGGCCCUUAAAUUGGCCAGCGGCCCCAAAAAAAUGUACAUGAAAAUGAAUUCCCAAUUCAGGGAAAUAAAAUAAAAAUCGAUAUUUCCGGAAAAGUUUCUGCACCGAUUAAGGCAACUAUAAUUUUUCAUAGUUUGGUUGUCAAACGUUUAAAAUCCGGAUAAGAAUGCUGUUUACGAUCGCAUCUUAGUAACAACGAUUUAAUUAUGUCAACAUGUGGGAAACAAUUUUAGCAGCCGAAUACAAUUAAUUAAUAUGUUAUGGGAGUAUUGGAUCUUGUAAAAGCAGAUCGCCCAGCAGGUUGAUAAAAAUGGGUGUCAAAGCAGACAUCGGCAGAGAGCAAAUUCAAAUUUUGAUAUAACAUUGAUGGAUAAGGUUUAAUGGACGCCGAAGAUGAUCCAAAUAAUUUUAAAGAACUCUGGUUCAAUGCUUUAAAUAUCUUAUCAAUUAAGUAUAUGAACCUUUGUAAUUGCUUUUCUGAAUUCGACAAUUGACCAGUUCAAUUUGAAAUCCAUUUGAAUUCAGACAAAUUUAUAGAGAUGACCUGCUGUUGAAAAAAUACCCGAUGAAUUUUUUCAGUGGUUUAUGUUAGCUGAAAUAUAUAUGUUUUUAUAAUAGGUCUAUUAUAGCUAAGAUGAUAGACUAGUGCAUCAUGUUCAAUGAUAUUCAUGUAAUAACAGUAGCCCAUCCAGAAUUAUUCAAAAUGUUACAACUUACAUGAACAUCAGUGUACCGGCAUGACAGGUUAAACUUAAUAAUAUACAUUUUCCGUUUUUCAGGAAAAUAAUGUUAUUUCGUCUUAGAUUUUAUUCUUAAAAAAUUCCCAAUUAGAAUAAAAAUUCCCAAUUUGAUGUUCAAGGGACCCAUUUGAAAACACCUGGAAUCAUCCCUGCAUCCCUUUCUAGCCCAAUUCUAGUGAUUUAAUUUGCAAUUUUCAAAUUUACUUGAUCUAAUUAAGACGAGAAAAGAUCCAAAUUUUAGAUUUUCUCCACAUUCCUAUUCAAUUCACUUUCUUUUCCUAAAAGUCUUGAAAAUUAGUUGGUUUACAGUAUACACCUUAUCGCUAAUCCCGGCUGACCCGGCCGCUUGAACUUUUGACACAUACAACAAUCACUUUUCCAUUGUGGCGUCAGAUAUUUUGUAUUGUGAUGUCAAAGUUUUACGGGAACCUGUGUGAUAUCCAGUAAUGGCGGACAAAUAGCGAUAAGGUGUAUUGUGAGCCAUUUUAUGUUUACUAUUUCUCUUUUCUCUAAAGAAAUCUUCAUGGUGAAUAAAGGAUUUUUUUUAUUUACAGGGAGCCAGUGCUGAGGUUACUUUAAAAACAGGGAACCAGAUUAAAUUGACAACAGAUGAAAAGUUUUAUGAAAAAUGUAGCGUUGAUCUCCUGUAUGUUGAUUACAAAAAUAUCACCAAGGUUAUGGAGGUCGGAGGUCGUAUCUUCAUAGAUGAUGGUCUUAUAUCUGUUGUGGUUAAAGAGAAAGGUAUGUACAACCGUUGAAAACAUGAUAUGUUAUGUAUACCAAUGUCUGUCUGUCUGUCUGUUAACACUUCGUACAAUAAAUCAAAUAAGAUUGAACCAAUAUUCAUAUAACUUAAGGAUGUACUUAGGUGAGGUUAGGUAAAAUUAAGAUAUUAAAAUUGAUACUAUAAGCUGGUAGAGCAUCAAGAGGAUAAAGAUAAGCUAAAAUUAUUGAUAGGUCAUAGACCUCCUUUUCGAGAUAUAUUCGAAAUUUAAAAUAUGGCGGGAAAAGGAUGACUCAGAUUUUUACCUUAUAUUUGCAUUGGGUAUUAUUUGGGUCUCAAAACAGAAGAAAGAAAAUCAAGAAUCCUAUAAAAUUUUGGUAAAUGACCUUUCAUGAGCUAUAAAGUCUAAUAUGUAAAAAUAAAUGGGUGUUAUGGGGCAAAAUAUUUUACAUUGUAUUAUAUGGAAAAACACCAAGGAGUCUGAACAUCUGACACAAAUUCCAAAACCUCGCCUAAGUACAUCCUUUACACAACAUUAGAAUUGAAAGAACAAAGCUCCCAAUGAUAUUUGGUAUGUAGAUGCAUAAGUAUAGGUACUUCUCAUUUCUAUCAAGAUUAUUUGGUCCAGCUCUCAGUAAUGGUCUUUCUUACAUACUUCAUUUCUUUAACAUAUAAAUCAUCAACAAGUCAUGGUCUACUGACUUUGAAACUGUUGAUUAGUUGACCUAGAUCUAGUUAAAUCUUUAUGUUACAAUUAAAAAAUAAGUGACGUUCUCGCGUUGUCUUUACGCCUUAUUAACAAAAAGAUAAAAUUCUAUAUACAAUACAAUAUCAAAUAUGAGUAAAAAAUUUCGAAUUAUAAACUACUUAAUACUUGAAAAUAAAGUCCUGGUCACAGCAACAAAAUGUCAAAUAUGUGAAUUAAGGAAGAAAACGUUGCAUGUUAUAAUAUAAUGGAAUCGAUCUGUAGAAUGCCCAAGUAAAACAAAAAAAGUAUAUGAACCUUAAUUAUAAAAAAGAAGAUGUGGUAUGAUUGCCAAUGAGACAACUCUACACAAAUAAUAUUAAUUAACAACUGAAAACUUAAGUCAGAACUACUUUCCAAAUAGUUGUCUUUUUUCAUGAGAAUGUCCGUUUCAUGUUUGUACAAAGCAUUAUACUUGUUUCUUAUAAUAAUAUAAUUUUAUAUGAAAAGGGGGGUAACUCUGAAAUCGACUGUUGGCAUUAACAUGAUGAUGGAAGAUAAAAAAAUUCUUGUAAAUUAAUUCAAGACACAUGAUCAUGUUUAGUUGAGUUCAUGUUUGUUAUUCCAGGUGCUGACUGGUUGCUAUGUGAUAUAGAGAAUGGUGGUGACCUUGGCAGUAAGAAAGGAUGUAAUUUACCUGGAACACCUGUUGAUUUACCUGCUGUUUCUGAUAAAGACAAAAAGGAUCUUCAGUUUGGUGUGGACCAGGGGGUUAGUGUUGUACAAAAUUCAUACAUCAACAUAUAUAUGUAGAUCGUUUCUUGAUCCUCACAACUCACAACCAUAGUGUUGACAAGCUAAUGAUUUUGAACUGUUGAUGAAUAACUUAGACUACUUGGUCACUAAUAUCUUUACUCAUAACAUAGAAACAUGGUUUAUAGUAGGGACCACAUUAAGAUAUUUAGCCUCUAAGCUGUAAAUAACUAGAACCCUGCUUUAAAAAAAUGGGGGUAUUCUGUUUAACAUCUGUCUGUCUGUCCCAUGAAUAAUUUUUGUCGCAUCUUUUUCAGGAAUUACAUCAUAAAGAUUUCUAAAAAUAGAUGCAAGAAAAAAAGAAAUUGAUUAUUUAAGAAAUAAUUCUUUCAUGCCAUGCUCUAUGCUCAUUUUAACAUGGGUAGGCAUUAUAUUUGUUAAUAUCUUAAUACUGAGCAUUAGCCAGGUAUGAAAUGUUUACAAAUAUAAUGCCUACCCAUGUUAAAAUGAGCAUAGAGCAUGGCAUGAUAGGAUUUUUUCGAUUCUAAUAGGAAUAUUUUGAACUUUUGUACUUCGAAGGGGACCUAUAGUACACGUUUGAAAUGUCGCCAAUUUGAUUUGAUGAACAAAAACGUUAUAGAAAAAUCAACAGUUUAUCAAUAAAAAAAGAACAGAAACAUUUAAACUUACUUUUAGAAUGUUUAUUUAAUUUCCUAGCAAGCAACACCAACAAAAGUGUCCAUUUUGAUCUCUGGCGUUGUUCAAAAUUCAUCUUGAAACUGCAAUUUCCAUUCAAUCAUAUGCAGCCCAUGUUCUAUUCGAAUUAGAACAUGGCUUUGUACCCAAAGCUAAAGAAGAAUGUCAUAUAAUUGUUACAUAGAGUAAUUGAUAGUUGAUUAACUCAGCCUCAGCACAAAAAAAAAUUAUUAUAUUUUUGCUUGUUUUUACAGGUAGACAUGGUAUUUGCUUCAUUUAUAAGAAGUGCAUCUCAUAUCAAAGAAAUCCGUGAUCUUCUGGGAGACAAGGGAAGACAUAUCAAGAUCAUUGCUAAAAUAGAAAACCAUGAAGGAGUGGCAAAGUAAGUCUAGAUUAUUGCUUAAAAACAAGUAAUGGAAGGUAAAAAGUGAGUCUCAAAGGAAGAGCCAUGAAGUGGUUACAAACUGAUACAAAAGUAAAAACCUCUUGCAUGAUGGGAAAUGAGACAACUAUUCAUAAUAGGAAAAAAUGAGGAUAAACAAGUGAUAGGUUAUUUCAUUGAAAAAAAGAACAAAACCAUAUGAAAAAUAUAAAAAAGAAGAUGUGGUAUGAUUGCCAAUGAGACAACUAUCCACAAAAGACCAAAAUAACACAGAUAUUAACAACUAUAGGUCACUGUACGGCCUUCAACAAUGAGCAAAGCUCAUACCGCAUAGUGAGCUAUAAAAGGCCCCGAUAAGACAAUGUAAAAAGUAAGCUUUAAAAGUUUAUGUGUAGAUGAAGUAAUUUGUUCUCAUAAGUCCCUCAGUUAGUAAACUAGACAUUUCUUAUGAAGUAUGUCAUACUGUAUUCAUAUUAUUCGUUGGAUACCAAUUUUCUGUAGGUUUCACUGACAUGUUCAGCUAAUAACAAAUUUUCUAUAGGUUUUGCAAGUAUAGGUUAUCAAACCAAGAUUUCAAAUAUCCCUAAAAAUGCAAGUUUUCCUCAAUCCACAAAAAUUGAUACCCACGAAAAAAUAAAUGAAUCCCCAGUAGCAUAUUUGUUUGGUAUCAUGAAAUAUUGUAUAUGAAAUAAUCUAGACUUCCCAUUGAUUUGCACUAUGCCACUAUGAAUGAAACAAUUUGUAUGAUACAACAAAUCAACAGUAUGUGAAACAAUUUAAAUGAUACAGCAAUCCAACAGUAUGUGAAACAAUUUAAAUGAUACAGCAAUCCAACAGUAUGUGAAACAAUUUAAAUUAUACAGCAAUUCAACAGUAUGUGAAACAAUUUAAAAGAGAGAACUUGCUGCCUUAUUUAUAAUGAUAUAAUAUCAGAAAAACAAAUAUGAUAGACAUAGAUAUAAGAUGUGAUAUGAGUGCUAAAGAGACAACUCUCCAUCCAUGUCAAAAUUUGUAAAAGUAAAUCAUUAUAGGUCAAAGUAUGAUCUUCAACAUGGGGUCUUGGCUCACACGGAACAGCAAACUAUAAAGGGUCCCAAAAAAUACAUUUGUAAAACCAUCCAAAAAACCACUAUUUAUACAUAUGAAAUAUACCCCUAUACAGGUAUUAUUGCUUUAUAUUUCAGAUUUGAUGAGAUAUUAGAUGCAGUAGAUGGUAUUAUGGUUGCCAGAGGAGAUUUGGGAAUAGAAAUCCCACCAGAAAAAGUAUUCUUAGCACAGAAAAUGAUGAUUGGUCGAUGUAAUCGGGCUGGAAAACCAGUUAUAUGUGCCACUCAGGUAAUUCACAGGCAAACCAGUUAAAUGUGCCACUCAGGUCACAGGCAAACCAGUUAAUGUGCCACUCAGGUAAUACACAGGCAAACCAGUUAUAUGUGCCACUCAGGUAAUACACAGGCAAAUAUACCUGUAUAACUGUCAGUUAUAUGUAACACUCAGAUAAUACACAGGCAUAUUUACCUGUAUAACUGUGUACAGGAAUAUACAUUAUGAAAUUAAAUUCUGGUUUAGUGCACUGAAUAUAACUUCUCCAGGUGAAAAUGAAUAUUAUCGGAAAAUACCUAAAAUACCUGUUUGGGUACUUUCUUCUGUUAUCAACAUGCAUAUUUUCCUGUAUAACAGUGUUUCAUACAGAAAUAAAUAUUAUAUCCUCUAGUCUAAGGUUCAGAGAGCCAUUGUAAAGGAAAUUUGUAGUUCCACUGAUAAAAAGGAAACCAUUAGACUCUUUCUGACAGACUAUAUGUCACUGUACAGUAUGUGCAUUUUAAUUCAGCUAAGGUUUGUUUCAUCAAUUUUUUGUUCCAGCUGAGGCAAUGAAAAAAAUAAUGACUGCUUUUUGUUGAGGUGAAUUUUAAUCUUUAGUAUAUGACUGUCUUGAAGAAACUGUUUCUAUGGGCUACAGUUCAGUGGGAAAACUUAAAAUGUUGUAUGUUUGUAGUAACAAUAACUGGUGAACAUGGUUUACAAUGUAUGAAUACUUGAAAUCUGAUAUUGUAUAUCACCUUCAUAGCAGGUUUUAUAAAAUCUGUCUGUACAUUUUUUAUUUCAAAUAUCAGGUCUCUUAUUUCAUUUAACAUAUAGGAGUCCACAAAAAAUUAUUGUAAACAGUGAAAUGUUAUUUUAUAUUACCCAUGUUGAUAUAUUUCAGAUGUUAGAAAGUAUGGUUAAGAAACCUCGUCCAACCAGAGCAGAGACGAGUGAUGUAGCCAAUGCUGUCCUAGAUGGAGCUGACUGUGUCAUGUUGUCAGGGGAGACAGCAAAGGGAGAUUAUCCAUUAGAAGCUGUCAAAAUAAUGCACAAGGUAAAAGUCAUUGAAUUGAUCCAUCUUAAUUGUGGUUUUGUCUUAUUGUCGAGCCUUCGACUUUAGUCGAAAAAGCGAGACUAAGCGAUCCUACAUUCCGUCGUCGUCGGCGUCGUCGGCAGGCGUCAAAAAUAUUCACUCUGUGGUUAAAGUUUUUGAAAUUUUAAUAACUUUCUUAAACUAUACUGGAUUUCUACCAAACUUUGACAGAAGCUUGUUUAUGAUCAUAAGAUAGUAUCCAGAAGUAAAUUUUGUAAAAAUAAAAUUCCAUUUUUUCCGUAUUUUACUAUAAAUGGACUUAGUUUUUUCUGCGGGGAAACAAAACAUUCACUCUGUGGUUAAAGUUUUUAGAAUUUUAAUAACUUUCUCAAACUAUCCUGGGUUGUACCAAACUGCGGACAGAAGCUUGUUUAUGAUCAUAGAUAAUAUCCAGAAGUAAAUUUGUAAAAAUAAAUUCCAUUUUUUCCGUAUUUUACUUAUAAAUGGACUUAGUUUUUUUUGCGGGGAAACAUUACAUUCACUCUUGGUUAAGUUUUUAGAAUUUUAAUAACUUUCUUAACUAUCCUGGGUUUGUACCAAACUUGGACAAAGCUUGUUUAUGAUCAUAAAAUAGUAUCCAGAAGAAAAUUUUGUAAAAAAUAAAAUUCAAUUUUUUCCGUAUUUUACUUAUAAAUGGACUUAGUUUUUUCUGCAGGGAACCAUUACAUUCACUCUGUGGUUAAAGUUUUUAAAAUUUAAAUAACUUUCUUAAACUAUCCUGGGUUUGUACCAAACUUGGAAAUAACCUUAUUUAUGAUCAUAAGAUUGUAUCCAGAAGUAAAGUUUGUAAAAAUUACUCUGUUUUUUUCUGUAAUUUACUUUUCAAAUGACUUAGAUUUUUCUUACAAUCAUAAAAUAGUAACAAGAGGAAUAUUUUUAUUGAUUUUUUUCCUCAUUGUUGUUGAGCCUGUGAUUUACAGCAAAAAUAGGCGAGACACUGGGUUCCGCGGAACCCUUACAAAUUUUACUUGAUAUAAGUUUUAAUGCCAAUUCUACAGUCAUCAACAGGAGGGUUUUGUUGAUCUCAUAUGGCCAAAUCCAGUACAUGACAAACCAUUAUUCUGUAAAAAAACGUUUAGAAACUAAUACAAGUAGUUUACAAAUGAGUUUUUUUCCUUUAAAGAAUUUUGUUUACACAUAUAGAGAUAAAGAGAUAUGGUAUGAUCGCCAAUGAAUCAACUAUCUACAAGAGUUCAUAUGCAGUGGAUAUGUGCAAUUAUACACAGGCAAAUUUCGCUCAAAUAAAUUUCAUGUGAUAAAAUUAAACAUAAACAAAAUUAUUCACAUGUAUCUUGCAUGACAUUACAGAAAAAAAAUUCAGUCAAGAUUCAUGUGAAACUAGGACGCAUGAAAUCAAUUCUCAUGAGUUUCACAUUGAGGUCAUUUGAGGUGAAACUUUCCUGUAUAUCAUUACAGAAUUUAGUACCCUGUUUUCAUUACAGAUUUGCAGAGAGGCUGAAUCAGCAGUAUUUCACACCCAGUUGUUUGAGGAGUUGAGGAAACACACUCCUACACCAACAGAACCUACACACACUGUGGCUAUAGCUGCUGUAGAAGCUUCAUUUAAAUGUAUGGCUGCUGCUAUUAUUGUCAUUACUACUUCUGGAAGGUUGGUGUUGUCAAUUUAUUAUAAAAAUAAGAAGAUGUGGUAUGAUAGCUAAAGGACACAAUUCUCCACAAGAGAACAAAGGAUGUAGAAUUCAACAAUUAUAGGUUACAAUAUGGCCUUUAAUAUUGAGCAAACCAACACAUUUUAUUUUCACAAAAAAACCAAAUAAAUUUUGAAUGACUGAGAAAAAGUGCUGAUGUGUACAAAAAAUGAAUUGCUGAAAAUUGUAUACCGCAUGUUUUACAAAAUUGUUCACAUAUAUAUUUGAUCUGUUUUCUAUUAUCAAUAUUGUCUUAAAACAAUUCAUAUAUAACUAAAGAUGACUACUGACAAGGUUCUUGUCAUGCAAAAACAUAGAAUUGUUUUAAUUGUUUUACAUUUGUCAUUUUUGGGGCAUUUUAUAAUGGUAUGGGCUUUGCUCAUUGUUGAAGGCCAUACAGUGUUCUAUGGUUGUUAACUUCUGUCAUUUUGGUAUCUUGUGGAAAGUUGUCUCAUUGGCAAUCAUACCACAUCUUAUUAGUAUAUCGAGAUAAGUGUAGUAUCAAGGAAUUAUCUGAAGGAUGUUAGUCUAAAAUCAUUGGAAAACAAUAGCAAGUAUUUCAAAUCAGGUUUGUAAAAGGAAAGUUGUCAUAGUAGUGAAAUUUUAUAAAGGGAGGUAAUUAUUACAUUGUAGAUCUGCUCACUUGAUAUCUGCCUAUCGUCCACGUUGUCCUAUACUUGCCAUUACAAGAAAUGCCCAGACAGCACGACAGGGUCAUCUGUGGAGAGGAGUGUUCCCUAUACAUUAUAAUGGUAAGUGAUAUCAUGUCAGCUCUUUAAUUACAGGUUAUUACAGGUAAAAUGGAAAAGAAAACUUAAUAUUAAUCUGGACAUAGCUUGCUUUAGUUGAUGUAGGAUGUUAGUAAUGCUUUUAACUUUUUACUACUUAUGCAUUUAUUUAAAUAUUUUAGAAUGUUUAUAAAUUACAAGUUGAACAAACUUUUAGUUUGAUUGUCUAUGCAUUUUUUAAUAUUUUUAUGGAAUGCACUUGCAGUAAUAGAUGUUGCAUUUAAUCAGGAAAUUUGAAGAAAAAAAAUUGGAAUGCCCCACAUCUGACUUUGGAAAAUCAUGAAACCAAUUCCAUUUGUAUUGAUCAACAAAAAUGCAAUUUUGCAUCAUUUCACAAAAAUUGGUGUUAACCAAAAUUAAUGAAUCCAAAGUUUGUAAAUUAGAUUUGAUUCUGAUCACAAAAGUAGCUUCUAUUUUGACCUCUGUAUGUUGCAUGUGAAGGGUACAAUUAGCACUGCAGUAGUCAUCAAACAUUUACAUAACACUGACUUUCAAUAGUAAAUCUUUGUUGGAGACAAGCUUUAUGGUGUUAAGCAUAAAUCCCUGUUGGAGAAGAGAUUAAAGGAUGUACACUUAAAGUAGUAAAUUUGUAGCAACAGACUUUCUAUAUAAAAAUAAGGAGAUAUGGUACGAUUGCCUAAAAGAGAGCAAACCACCAGAGUUUAAGUCUAAAAUAAUAAAAAAAAAAAUGAAUUCUGAAUUAUGGGACUUUAAUAGUACAAAUUGUACGUUUCAUUUUUCUUAAUUUUAAAGUUGGGAAAUGAUAAAGAAUUCAAAUUGGUUGUAAUUUUUCAAAUGCAUUGACAAAUAUUUCAUGCAUGUUCAUAACUAGAAAAUAAUUAGAUUCAACAGUCCUUAGGUCAUGUAGGUUAGUAAGUAAAGUUUGAUGACUGCAUGACAAUGUUCUCACACAGAUAUGGAUGUAGUAUAAAGCUUGAACACAUAGCUUGGCUAAAGCAUGCUUUUUUUACUUUAUCAAUGCUUUUAAAUGUUUUCAUAGUACUGCUUAGAAAUCAGAUAUGCUCUAACUGUAGUAAUGAUGUUUUAACCAAUGUGAAACUUAUUUUGAAAUAAUUUUUUAAUGACAAUUUUUUUGGGCCAUAUUUGCCAAGUUGAAUAGUAACACAGAUUUAAGUCUUUGUAAAUAUGUCAAACAAGGAUCUUGCCUUAUAUGAAAACAUCAAUCAAUGUACCGAUAAUGUUUUCUUUCUUCUUUGAAUUAAAUGCAUCUAAAAAUUGUCAAUCUUGGCGUAAUUUUCUUUGUUGAUGAAAACAAAGUUUAUUUUAUCUUUUUCAGCAAUGCAUUUUUCGGUAAAAAGACAUUACCAAAUUGCUGUCUUUUCACAUCUGUCAUUAACAAUGUUUUAGUCAACAAACUUGAAAAUUUACUCUAUCAUAAUUUAGCAAAUUGCAAACUUUCUCCCUCUUCAAAAAUGUUUUCUAAAUUUUUAUGCAUCUUGUAUAAAAAAAAACCCACUAAAACAAUGAGUUUCACAUUGGUUCCUAUUAAAUCCUUCACCCUGCAUGCUUCAAUGUGCUUGUGUUUGCUUUAUUUGUACACAGAACCUAAGACAGCAGGUGGUUGGGCUGAUGAUAUGGAUAAAAGGAUCUACAAGGGACUCUCCGUAGGCAGAGUCAGGAAGUUUAUCAAGACCGGAGACCCUAUAGUUAUUGUUACUGGCUGGAAAUGUGGCAGCGGAUAUACAAACACAAUGAGAAUAAUAAGCACCCCUGCCAAAGAUGGGGACCCCAUCGUCGGAACACAAGUCAUUUCAGACUAUAACGAUUAACUAGUUUAGUUUUCUUUCGGUCAAAGAAAUGUUGAACAUUUUAUAGACCUAAGUCAGUGCCUUAGUGCAAAUUUUGAAAAAAAUAUCUUAUUUUGUGUUCAUCAACAGAAGCUCUACAAAGUGGAGAAUGAUGCACACUACCUCAUACAUUGUAAUAUUUAUUUAUUUGUGCCAAAGGAAUAAUAAAACACGAAAUGGCUUAUUGCUGCUGCUCUCUCAACUAGCUUGUUUGUUAAUAAUAAAAAUAUAUAUCUUUCCUAUUACUCUUUGUUUGUUAUAUCACUUUGCUAGUGAAGCUGUACAUAGUUUCAUUUGUUCAAUCCUAAUAGGUGAAUAUACAUGAGUCCUAGACUUAUCCUUCAAAUUUUGUAUGAGCUAGGUAGAAAUAGUUUAGGACAUAUUAUUGCCACUUUAGAAUUUUAUUUGUUAGAUUUCAAGUGAGUUUGUGUUUUUUCCAAUUUAGGUUUAUUAUUUCUUUAUUGUAUCCCCACUGUAAAGGAGGGGAGUACACUGGUUUUACUUUGUCAAUGUGUCUGUCUCUCCUGAAAUCUUCCUCAAGUUUUUCACAGAAAACUACAAAUCAGAGCUUUCUAAAAUUUGGUAGCCAACAUUAUGUAAGCAUACUAUAUCAUUUGAUAGGUUUUACAUCCAUUGCUCAUCAACUUCCUGUUUACUUAACAUUUUGUGAUUUUUUUUUUUUAAUUUAAUUACAUGCAGUUUAAGCAAUGUUUCAAUCACUUUUUCAUUGUGGCGUCAAAUAUUUUCUAUUAUGAUGUCAAAAUUUUACGGGAACUUUUUUAUGAUGACAAAUAGCGAUAAGGUGUAUAACGGUAAAGACAUAUGAUAGAAAUCUUAAGAUCUCUUAAAAACUAUAUAAAAGAAAUUGAGAAAAGGUGCCACAGUCAAAGAAACAUGGAUUGAUAGAAGUUUGCAGAACAACAAGUAUGGAAAAUUUGUAAGAGUUUUGAAAAUUAUAUAAGUUCAGGCUAUUCCAGAAAAAAAAAUUAGGGGAAAGGGGGUGGGGUGGGGAUUGGAGGGCACUUUAUAUUAAUGAUAUAUGCGUGAUUAGUAUUAGAAUAACUUUUUAUACUGCAAUGCACUAUGAUUCUCAAUUACAAUUGUCUGUUUGGCUGGUGCUGAAAAGAAAUACCUUCCAACCCUCAUACAUUUUUUUUUCUAAAAUAGCCCUUAGCAGAAUGUUGUCUUUACAUUUUUUGUAAAAAAAAUCAUGAAAGUCUCAUAAAUUGAUUCAUUGAUUUGUAUGAGGAAUAUGAUACGGCAGAUAUACUGAUCGAUGAACUAGUUCAUGAUUCCUUUCAAUACUUAGAUAGUUUAAUUAACUGUAAGUUUUAACAUUAUGUGAUUUCAACUGUUGAAACAACUUUGUUAUUUUGUUUGCUUUGAUAUUGUUGCAUGUAGCUUUUCAUCCUGCUUGCCUAGUACUUGUAUUCAUCUGAUGAACAUGAUUUAAGCUAAUUUUUCUGCUGAUAUAGAUUUUUGAAUUCUGUAAAUUUAAAAAACAAACUAACGUAAAAAAAAUAUCUCAAUAAAAGAUGUUUAUCUAUAGAACGUUGUAUUUAUAGCAUAUUAUUCUAUUUAUAGAAUCUGUUAUGAGUGAAUGGACAGUAGAUGUUGAUUGUAGCAUCUAUAUGGGUAUCAACGUAUUGCUUUUCUAAAGAACAUUGUAUUUAUAGCAUAUUAUUUUAUUUAUAGAAUCUGUAAUGAGUGAAUGGACAGUAGAUGUUGAUCGUAGAAUCUAUAUGGGUAUCAAUGUAGGAAUGCACAGAGGGUUCAUCAAUCCAGGAGAUUCAGUUGUCAUAGUAACCGGCUGGAAACCAGGCUCCGGCUCCACCAAUACAAUGAGAGUGAUUAAUUGUCAGGACACCAGACAGAAGGACAUGUUAGAACCAAUCACAGGAGUAUCGAGUGUACCAAGCUUCAAUAAGAUAACAUCAGGCGAGUCUCUGAAGAGUCUGAGUGUGUCUGAAGGAAGCUCCAAGUCUAUCGACGGAGAUGUUAAGUUUUUCUAAAGUUUUCCUAGACAUUUAACUGCUACAUGGUUACGUACAAGGACAUUGUUAUUUAUUAACGAGUAGUUUUCUGCCACUGUUUUUUUUUGUUGAUUUUUGAUUGUAUUAAAGUCAUAUGAAAGUUAUGUAGAUCGUACCCUCCCAGUACUAAAUCGUAAUUGUUAAAUAAUGCAGAGACAUCAUAUUUUCUAAUGAUCAGGUGUAUUUGUUGAAUACAUGGAAACCAUACCAAUUUGAUUUCAAUUUUUUUUUUUUUUUUUUUUAAAACUUUUAGCAUUUCUGUAAUUUCUUUUCAGCAAUUAAGCUAUUUUAUAAUUUUGGUUUGCGUUAUAUCCAACUUUGCUGUUUGUUACAAAUAAUAUUUAAGAAGAACAUAAGGUUACAAACAUUAGUCAAUUUUUAAAAGGUUGAUUGAAGCACCAAAUGCAUGUACUUAUAAAAAUUUGUGAGGGUUAGCUAAAUUCAUUUUUCUUUAAAAUAAAAAAAAAAAGGGGGGGGGGUGUAUAGCAUAUAGAUGUUUUUGUAAGUGUCUUAAUAACUAGAUAUGUGAUUUUCUUUCCAGUAAAUCAAAUUUUAAAUGGUUAAAUUGAGAUAUUGCAUAAUAGUUAUUUGUGAUACAUACAUUGUAUUUUGAUAUAGAAUCUUGUGGUCAGCACAUUUUUUGUGAUACAUACAUUGUAUUUUGAUAUAGAAUCUUGUGGCCAACACAUUUUUUGCAUGGUUCUCUAAAAGUAUAGUAGAGUUAUUCUUUUAUAUCAAUACUGUUCUUCAGAAUUCAGGUCAAAAUGUUAGUAAUACUCAGUCACACAACAGUUACUGCCCCUAAAUAGUGAACAAUGUUAUUUUUAUGUAAAGCAACUAUUUUCACAAGAUUUUACAAUUUUGAUGGUUGUUUUAAGAAAUUUUAACGGCUGAUCUAAUUUUGAUUUUUGAUUUUGAUUAUAUUUUAUGCAACAGGCCUAUGUGCUUUUUACAACUGACAUUCCCUUGCAUUAUUACAACCGUAUAAUGAAUGAGUUAUGAUUACUGAUUGCCCUGAUUGUUUAUACUUUUUAUGUGUAUUAGUAUGGAAGGCCCCCCUCCCCUUCCUCCAAAAAAAAAUAAUUAAAAAGAUAACAAAAAAAACCAACAACAGAUAAACAUUAAAUUAGGUCAAUAAUGAUAGAAUUACCAGAUGAUUUCAUUUACAAAAGCAUAAUGAAGUGUAUUGGUGCAUGAUUUUUAUAGUUGUCAAAACUUUAAUUUAUAUAUAUUGUUGUUUUGAAACUUUUUGUUAAAGACUUAGUAAAGACUUUUGAAGUAACAACACUUAUUAGUUAUGGAUUGUUUUCUAUGGCUUAAAUCAUGCCUGAAAAUAGUGCUAUGAGUCCUCUCCACAUUUUUAUAUUUUAUGUUGUAUUAGAUAAUAAAGUGCUAUUUGUUGUUAUUUUUAGUCUAUUUUUUAUAGGAUUAAGAUAUUGAAGUGUAAAACCAAAUCACUACUUCCUUUCAAAUUCUGGACCCAAAUUUUUUUACAGUGUAAUUUCCACCCCCCCCCCCCCCCCCCCUUUUCUUGCAAUUUGAGGCAUUAAACAUGGAGAAAUAAAUUUGGAAGGGGUAUAAAAAUGAAUGGCAAGUAACCCACUGUCAACACUAGGGACUAUAUUUGAACGAAAAUCAAGGGAUGACAAUUGUGGUCUGGGACCUGAUGAGGAAAUAGAAGUUAACUUACAUUUUCAGAAAUAAAAUCUUAAGACAAAACAUAAUGCACAAAGAGUAAGGGGGGAAAAUGUGAGAUAUUUGAAAUUUUAGAAAUUUUGGAAAAGAACCAGGAGUCGAUUUCACAAAGAUACUUAUGACUAAGAUUGGUCGUAAGUGUACUGAAUUGUGCAUGACUUAUGACCAACUUACGACCAAUUUUAGUCGUAAGUUAUUUUAAUGAAAUCGACCCAAGUAUUCUUUAGACAUUUAAUUUUCUCCUUGUCAUGUUAAGGGCCUCAACUUGCCAAAUUAAGGUUAGCACAAGCUACAAAUACAUUUUUUUAUAUGUUCUUUUAAAUUUUGAAUCGCUUUGGUGAAAAGUUUGGUUAUUUCAAAGUUUGCGUUCCCAUGAAUGCUUCUAGAUUUUUUUGACUUGAAUAAGCAUAGUUUUACAGUUGUUUAUGGUGAUAGUGAUAGUAAACAUUUCUUAAAUAGUAACUAAAAUUUUGCAUUUGACAUCUGGUUUAUUUUACUUUUUCUCUCUGACUUUUAAUUACACUCUUCCCUCUUGGUCAUUCAAAAAACAAUGAUAGAAAUCAAAUAUUUAUAUAAAAAAAAUUCAAAAUACGUCAUAAUUUUGUGUACACAGACAAGCAAUUAAGAGACCCAUUCGUUUCUUCACCUGAUUCCUAAUCAUUGCUGGAUAAUAAAUACUGUAAGCCAACUUAUUUUCAGUGAUACUUUAUUUCACAUUUAGCCUUUUCAGACCCACUUUGUGGCUCUUUCUUAAUUUUCACAUUUACUUGAUGUAAUAGAAUAAGAAAGAUCAAAGUUUUACAUAUACAUUACAAUUUAUAUAAACAUUAUUUUGCUACUUGCGAAAAUCCUAUAUUGUUGUAGUGACAUCUCAGAUAGUAGUACCACCGUCACAUAUUAAAUACCUCUAAACACUAAAUAGCUUUAGCUCUGUAUCAGCAUUGUAACAGGUCAUCAACCUUGUCAAUAUGUGUGUACUGGAAAUAAAUUAUUUUUUAUUUUGCAAAUUGUAGUGCCAUAAGAACAAUAAAACUUCUACAAGCAAAUAUACCUGUUUUAUACCAAUAAAGUUAGAAUCUGCAGUAUGCUGAGGUCUAUGACAGCAACCCAAAAUUACACAAAGAAAUCAUAUUUCUAUAGUAUUC